UGUGGGGCUGGGGCUCAGUGGUAGAGUGCUCGCUGAGCAUGCAUGAGGCACUGGGUUCGAUUCUCAGAACCACAUAA
rnacentral:tRNA from 1 species